CCUACGGGGGGCUGCAGUGGGGAAUAUUGGACAAUGGGGGCAACCCUGAUCCAGCCAUGCCGCGUGUGUGAAGAAGGCCCUCGGGUUGUAAAGCACUUUCAGUGAGGAAGAACGCCUGGUGGUUAAUACCCAUCAGGAAAGACAUCACUCACAGAAGAAGCACCGGCUAACUCCGUGCCAGCAGCCGCGGUAAUACGGAGGGUGCGAGCGUUAAUCGGAAUUACUGGGCGUAAAGCGCGCGUAGGUGGCUUGAUAAGCCGGUUGUGAAAGCCCCGGGCUCAACCUGGGAACGGCAUCCGGAACUGUCAAGCUAGAGUGCAGGAGAGGAAGGUAGACUUCCCGGUGUAGCGGUGAAAUGCGUAGAGAUCGGGAGGAAUACCAGUGGCGAAGGCGGCCUUCUGGACUGACACUGACACUGAGGUGCGAAAGCGUGGGUAGCAAACAGGAUUAGAUACCCCGGUAGUC
rnacentral:rRNA from 1 species